GAUGAACGCUGGCGGCGUGCCUAAUACAUGCAAGUCGAGCGAACGGACGAGGAGCUUGCUUCUCUGAUGUUAGCGGCGGACGGGUGAGUAACACGUGGAUAACCUACCUAUAAGACUGGGAUAACUUCGGGAAACCGGAGCUAAUACCGGAUAAUAUUUUGAACCGCAUGGUUCAAUAGUGAAAGACGGUCUUGCUGUCACUUAUAGAUGGAUCCGCGCCGCAUUAGCUAGUUGGUAAGGUAACGGCUUACCAAGGCAACGAUGCAUAGCCGACCUGAGAGGGUGAUCGGCCACACUGGAACUGAGACACGGUCCAGACUCCUACGGGAGGCAGCAGUAGGGAAUCUUCCGCAAUGGGCGAAAGCCUGACGGAGCAACGCCGCGUGAGUGAUGAAGGUCUUCGGAUCGUAAAACUCUGUUAUUAGGGAAGAACAAAUGUGUAAGUAACUAUGCACGUCUUGACGGUACCUAAUCAGAAAGCCACGGCUAACUACGUG
rnacentral:rRNA from 1 species